rnacentral:rRNA from 1 species
AUUGAACGCUGGCGGCAGGCCUAACACAUGCAAGUCGAACGAGUGGCGGACGGGUGAGUAAUGUCUGGGAAGCUGCCUGUUGGAGGGGGAUAACUACUGGAAACGGUAGCUAAUACCGCAUACCAUCGGAUGUGCCCAGAUGGGAUUAGCUAGUAGGGUGGGUAAAGGCUCACCUUGGCGACGAUCCCUAGCUGGUCUGAGAGGAUGACCAGCCACAUUGGAACUGAGACACGGUCCAGACUCGUAUGGGAGGCAGCAGUGGGGAAUAUUGCACAAUGGGCGCAAGCCUGAUGAAGCCAUGCCACAUGUAUGAAGAAGGCAUUCGGGUUGUAAAGUACUGUCAGCGGGGAGGCGUUACCCGCAGAAGAAGCACCGGCUAACUCCGGGCCAGCCGCCGCGGUAAUUC